ACGAAUGCAGCUGAAGUGGCUCUCCGUCAGGCUCAGGAGAUGUCGGCGAGUCCUNGCUUGGUAUCGGGAGCUGAGAAAGCCGCGGUGCCUCGCUGGGGUUCCCGUCUACUCUGCACUUCUGCGGAGAGCCGGCCAACGGCAGUUGUUCCCGGCUCAGGAGGUCGUGUGUGGGAGGUAGCUCUGCGCUUGCGUGGAGAACGUAUAGCCCCGCGUCUCGGCAGUCUGGGAGCGACUGAGGAGAGUUGCGAAUUUUCGCACGUGCGGUGCAGGCCCCCCGGGGCUGGGCCGCUCCUGUCGGAGGGGAGGCCGAGGUGGUUCACUGCGUGCAGUGUCUGUCGACGGUCCGCUUCGCCGGUGGGAGGCCGGUCACACCUUGCGCCGUGGUUGUUGGUGCCCGAAUGGCUGCAUCCGA
rnacentral:rRNA from 1 species